rfam:Oryza nivara chromosome 9, whole genome shotgun sequence.
AAUAUGUGUAGCCAUGAGUUUUCGCGUCCAACUUUGAUCGUCCAUCUUAUUUGAAAUUUUUUUUUAUAAUUAGUAUUUUUAUUGUUAUAAGAUGAUAAAACAUGAAUAGUACUUUACUCGUGACUUAUGUUUUUAAUUUUUUUAAAAAAAUUUUCAAAUAAGACGAAUGGUCAAAGUUUGACACGGAAAACCAUGGCUGCACUUGUU